GGAUGUUGCUAUGAGGAUUCACAGCUCCCUCUUCUGAAUAUAUCACUUGAAGAUAUUAGCUGGCAGAAUCGAACCCAUGACUUUUUAUGCCACUACUGAGUAA